ensembl:lncRNA
AAAAAUCCUGGGGAAACACUGCUGUUGAGUCCUGAGAGGCAGGUCAGCUUGGUAACCAUUUGGCAGUGCCUCUAAUAAUCAAGCAAAAACUGGUCAACAGUUGGAACAACAGUCUUCAAAGAAAGUAUCACAGCCAUCAAGAUACUAAUCUCGCAACCUGCAGUUGUGCUUUGAUCUAGCAGAACACCUGGGAGGGAGAAAGCACAGAGCCUGCGCCUGACCACAGAAGCUGAAGGGAGUUACACCUUGUUCCCCGUUUGGUUUUAUUGCUCAUACUUUACAGAGGAAAACUAAUUUGCGUGAGCGAUGACUCUUUCAGCAGGGGAUUUUGAUGAGGCACAAUCAUUUCAGAGUUUAACAGCUAUUUCAAUGUUACACACAGCCAAAUAAUCAACAAAGAAUAACCGGGAGAUGAAAAUCAGAUUUAUUCCCAUAUAUAGUAAAACUGUUGACACAAAAGUGACCAAGAGUCAUUGCUAUGGGUAAAUCGGUUUCAAUAGCAAAAAAAUGUACAUUGAUAACACUCCUUCCCAAAGCUAUUGCUUUGGAGUGACCACUGGUAAGUUAUCGUUCAGAAUAGAGAAGCUAUUCAUUCCAGCACACUCUCUUCACAUAAAGAUUCAAAAAUACAUGGUUAAAUAACGAUAACUAAUGGAUGGCCAGGAUUUUGGCCACUUCACAACCAAAUAAUAUUAUCUCAACAUAAGAUAAUUUGGUUAGAUAACCAUAUUAGAUUACCUCAGUGUAAAGGACAACAAGCAGCUUCUUUUUUUGGAUCAUGGCACUAGAAAGACUAAACUAAACACAAGAGGUUGCCAUUUUUUUGUGCAAAAUUAGGACAAUCCCAUUGGCACAUUUCUCAUUCUCUUUCCCUGAGAAAUUAACUUAAAAAGUCUUGCAUACUGUGAUGUGUUCCUUGUGAUCUUGGCACUGCCACUUGGUAGUGGUAUAAAAGUUGUCACCCUCAAACCAACAAAGAGACCCGUCUCUCACUCGACGUCCGUGUCAAUAUCUUGGUCCUCGUCUGCAUUCAACGCUUCCUCCUACCGACAGAGAGGGAAAGGACAAAGGGGUUCCUUAUAUUACCGGAGAUCUUUUGCUCAGGAUCAAUUCAUUAGAAAAGAAAAAAUAGAAGCACAAAGAAUCGUUCAUUCAUUGAAAGAUUUCCAAAUAGUUAACGAGUCGUAAAAAGGAACGUGUGUGUGUGUGUGUGUGUGUGUGUGUGUGUGUGUGUGUGUGUGUGUGUGUGUGUGUGUGUGUGUGUGUGUGUGUGUGUGUGUGUGUGUGUGUGUGUGUGUGUGUGUGCAUGAUCAACAAGUGUGUGUGUGCGCUAUCCACAUACCAGAGGAUAGUGCUCUUUCAGGUACCGAGCACCGAACCCGAGAGCGCGGUUCAUUGGAUGGGUGUCCAUAGCAGACAGCCUAGUGGCCACCUGACGGAACAACAGAGGAAUGGUGCAUGGUUACAGCCAGGGGUUAAAGUCGGCCGGCCCCUCAGAUAAAUUAAUAAAUAUAUUAAAAAAAGGAGCAUGUCAGGCCCACCGUCGUCAACAUGACGAACUCGGAUAAACAAACUAGACUUGAUAACAAAAAAAUAUGGAAAUAUGUCACAUGAUAGUACAUCACAGCAGGUUUUGGAGAGGAUUUGGACGAAGAUGGAUUUAAAUUCUUCCAGGAUCAAAUCGAAAAGGCUACAUUACGCUAUGGAGGGUACAUUCAAAACUAUUAAAUACAUACGGAUGGUAACAGGCUUCAGUUGGUAUUCUAGCAUGCCGCACAGUCUGAUCCACAUUACAACCUUUUUCUUGUCCCAUUGUGGCUUCGGAGAAAGGGAUAAAAUAUACCCCAUUCUGCAGCCUCUCGGAAUACCGUUCACCCUGUUGUUUUCAAUGGAGUUGUCCGAGCCGUUGUUCGAGUAUAGUUGAGGCUGGGAUGUCAUUGGCUCAUCUGUGUUCUAAGGGCGGAGCUUAGCGACAGGUCAAUUAGAUCAUAUAUGAUCAAAUUGUAUUCCUUCUCCGAGGCUCCGGACAAUGACCCAGUUUUGGUUUAAAAAGAGACAAUGUGCAUCAAGGGGACGGCGAGGGCCAACCCUGGCAUAAGCCCUAUGGGGUUGUUUAGGGCCACAGCCGCUAGGGGGGGCCACACGAUCAGUGUGACUUUCUGUGUUUCUCGCUCCUUACACUUUGAGCGGAGAGAAGUUGCCUUGCUAAGAACUCAGUGUGUAGCCAUGGGAACGUGUGGCAAUUGCUUUGUGGCAAUAAAACUCCACUCACUCACCACUUCUUAUUAAUAAACCGAGUAACCUUACACAAAUUGCUUCCAAUGAUUUUUGAAAGUCGUGUAGCGAGUAGGACUACAGUUGAAAAUUGGCACAUUUACAGAAAUGUUGAUCAAUGUGCACUGUCCUUUAAAUAAAUAAAUAAAUGAAAUUUAGGAUCAUAGGAGAUCAAUAAUCACAAUCCUAACGUCAAUCGAUUUCCUCCCCCCCUCCGUCCGAGAUGGCCUGACAGACAGUCGACAGACAGUCGACAGACAUCAGUCAGUCAGUCAGUCAGUCAGUCAGUCAGUCAGUCAGUCAGUCAGUCAGUCAGUCAGUCAGUCAGACAGACUACCUCGCAGGUGACAGCAAUGUUGGUCUGGAUCUCGUCUGAACCCUUGGGUCCCCGGUCCCCAGGGUCGUUGGUCGGGAGGCCGAUCUUGAGGAAGAUCUUGGACAUCAAUUUGCCGAACAUGCUGUAGCUGCUCAGCAUCUCCGUGAACUUCUUGGCGCAGUCAUAAUCCUAGAGGAGAAGCCAAAAGAAGGCAUGUUUCACUUUAUUCAUGAUGUCUGUGCUGGCUGCGACCUCGCUCCUCAAUACCUAAUUUUGCCUUCUACUACAUCUGCUGAUAUGCACUUCACUUUUGGUUUGGCUUCCCAUUACUGAUUACAUUUGUAUAUAGUUCAUUUAAUAAAUGAUUGUUCUAUCCUUAUGAUCAGCGUGGUCUCCCCAUUGAUGUCAGCUCUACUUGAGCCAAGUGGUCCUGACAAUGAGCAUAGAUGUUGACUGGUAGAAAUACUUACGGUAAGUACCAUCUCAUAUUCCUCAUAAUAUUCACUUAACCAAUCCCUUCCACUGAUCACUUGUGUUCCUUUCCUAAUAGUUGAACUGUUUCAUUCAGCAAGUGUAUCUCAGAAGUACUCUCUAAUACCAAGUAGGACUUACACAGGUUCAUUACGCUUUUCAUCUAUACAUCUUCUCCCUCUCUUGGAUUUCCGUUGAGACCAAGAGAAUACUUAUUUUCUCUGUAUACGAAUAAAUUGAAUAAUUGCACAAUUCUUAAAACCUUAUAUUCCUCGACACUUAGAGUGUAGGUUCCGCCUUGAAGAUAAUUGAGAAAACAAUAGGAAAUGUAUGUUACGGUGGUAUUGGUGCCUGCCGUGGUCCUGUAUUCAUUAAUCUUUCAAACUAUUGUCAAGCAGCAGCCUGUGGGAACACCAGGCUAGCCUGAUGGUCUCAUGAUCAAAGACUAGAUAUCCAGUCACUGAGUUAGACGGCAUCAUUUUGAUUACACGUUUCCUUGGCCUGUCAGCCAUUUCAGUCUCACAUGCCAAGGAAAUGUGGUUAAUGGGUGAGAAUAGAAUCAGUGACACCACAGGAUGAACUAACCACAAGCUGACAUCACCAUCAGCUGCAGCGGUUUCUUAACUCUCAAACAAAUGUCUAAUUCCUCCCGUUAAUGCUAGAAGAGUUCACAGCUACGUGCUUUCUGAGAUACAAGCAGGUUUACCUCCAUGAAGUUCACUAGAAUUCAAGGUCUAUUGAAGUUCACUAGAAUUCAAAGGCUAUUGAGGUCUAGUGAAUUGUGGAGAUGGACACCGUAGCCCAAAAGCACCUUUAUGGGUGGGUCAAGCUGUAAAGCUCCGAAAGCCCAGAAAUUAAAACUAAACCUUCGGUGAGCUGUACUCUUAUUCCACUUGAGACUCGACAACCAGGGUUAAUGACAAAGAAAUAGAGAAAUGAGGGAGCUGUUGGCUAUCUCAAUUAGCUUGGUCGUUAGCACAUCGACACUCUUGCUUUGUUGCCAUCGCUCACCCGGGGACACGCCACUGUUCCUGAAGCCCGGCCCAGCUGGUUCUCCGUCGUCUGCUUCAGCACCCCUGGGUACACAUGAGAUUAACUCACGGAGUCGUUUCAGGAAAUUCUUCUUCUUCUUCUUUUUCUUGGGUUCUUCUUCCUCCACAGAGGAAGGAGGAACCGCAGCUGGCCCGUUAGCCGACGUCCCGUUGCCCAGGGCGACCGGUCUUGUGCUUACGGGGCGUCUCCGCUGGGCGAAGGCCCUCAUCAGGCUCAGCUCCCUGGUGUUCUCCAUGUCGACGUGCUCCGCGACCGACACCCCGUUUGGGGAGGGCAGAUCAUGGCUUGCGCCCUUAUGCUGGACGGCCAUGCUUCUAGAGAGUUCUUC